AGUCGAACGGUAACAGGUCUUCGGAUGCUGACGAGUGGCGAACGGGUGAGUAAUGCAUCGGAACGUGCCCAAUAGUGGGGGAUAGCCCGGCGAAAGCCGGAUUAAUACCGCAUACGACCUGAGGGUGAAAGGGGGGGAUCGCAAGACCUCUCGCUAUUGGAGCGGCCGAUGUCAGAUUAGCUAGUUGGUGGGGUAAAGGCCUACCAAGGCAACGAUCUGUAGUUGGUCUGAGAGGACGACCAGCCACACUGGGACUGAGACACGGCCCAGACUCC
rnacentral:rRNA from 1 species